GCGAACCAGUUGAUGUCGGCGUCUUUCUUGUACUCGCCCGGGCGGGUCAGCGUGGUACCUGGGAACAGCACGCUGU
rnacentral:tRNA from 1 species